CUCUGUAGACCAAUCACAGCACAACUGUGUUGCGGUGCUACGAACAGAAUUGGAGCUGCUCAGGGCAGAGAUGUGGGGUAAGGUGGAGGAGGUGAGGCGUGAGAUGGAGUCGAGGCUGGACUCUCAGAGGAGACACAUGGUGCAGAAAGAGUCUCUGCUGAAGAGCGAGGUGGAGGACCUCAAGGGCCAGGUGUCGAGGGUGGUGUGUGAUGUGCGGGCUCUCUUG